rnacentral:piRNA from 1 species
UGCCAACUGAGACCCAGAUGCACUAGUGAAA